CCUACGGGAGGCAGCAGUGGGGAAUAUUGCACAAUGGGCGGAAGCCUGAUGCAGCGACGCCGCGUGAGGGAUGGAGGCCUUCGGGUUGUAAACCUCUUUCAGCAGGGACGAAGCGUGAGUGACGGUACCUGCAGAAGAAGCACCGGCUAACUACGUGCCAGCAGCCGCGGUAAUACGUAGGGUGCGAGCGUUGUCCGGAAUUACUGGGCGUAAAGAGUUCGUAGGCGGUUUGUCGCGUCGUUUGUGAAAACCCGGGGCUCAACUUCGGGCUUGCAGGCGAUACGGGCAGACUUGAGUGUUUCAGGGGAGACUGGAAUUCCUGGUGUAGCGGUGAAAUGCGCAGAUAUCAGGAGGAACACCGGUGGCGAAGGCGGGUCUCUGGGAAACAACUGACGCUGAGGAACGAAAGCGUGGGUAGCAAACAGGAUUAGAUACCCUGGUAGUCCACGCCGUAAACGGUGGCGCUAGGUGUGGGUUCCUUCCACGGAAUCUGUGCCGUAGCUAACGCAUUAAGCGCCCCGCUGGGGAUCGGCCGCAAGGCUAAAACUCAAAGGAUUGACGGCUGNGAGNGCGAGCGACGACGAGGAGAG
rnacentral:rRNA from 1 species